CUUUAGUUGCCAUCAUUUGAGUUGGGCGACUCUAAAGAGACUGCCGGUGUCAAACCGGAGGAAGGUGGGGAUGACGUCAAGUCCUCAUGGCCUUUAUGACCAGGGCUACACACGUACUACAAUGGCCGGUACAAAGGGCAGCGACACAGCGAUGUGAAGCGAAUCCCGAAAAGCCGGUCUCAGUCCGGAUUGGAGUCUGCAACUCGACUCCAUGAAGUUGGAAUCGCUAGUAAUCGCGGAUCAGCACGCCGCGGUGAAUACGUUCCCGGGCCUU
rnacentral:rRNA from 1 species